rnacentral:rRNA from 1 species
AUGGCUGAGCUGAAGCUAUGCUUGUGCUCAAGUAGCGAUCUCCUCGUCUUGUGCUUCUUGCUCCUCGGUGUACAUGUCCAUCAUGCGACCGCCAUCUCGUUCAACUACAACUCCUUCAGCUCCGGUGAUUUCCGAGAGGAGGAUGACGCGAUGGUCACCGACGGCAGGAUUGAGCUCGUCGGCGACGAGGCCGGCGGUCGAGCAAGGGGCCGCGUCCUGUACAAGCAGGCGGCGCAGCUCUGGGACGGCGUCAAGGGCGAGACGGCCAGCUUCACCACGAGCUUCAACUUCAGCAUCCAGUCCCUGCCUGGCCGGAGCAGCACCCCCGGGCACGGCAUGACGUUCUUCGUCGCGCCCUACAUGCCCGAAAUGCCGCAGGAGUCCUACGACGGCUGCCUUGGGCUCUUCGACGAGAAACAUGUUCCGGAAAGCGGGACGACGGCGAUCUCCGCCAACGCCUCCGGCAGCGCCAGCUUCGUCGCCGUGGAGUUCGACACCCACCGUGACGCGUGGGACCCCAGCAGCCGGCACAUCGGCGUAGACGUCAACAACGUCGACUCACGCGGCAACUUCAGGAUCUUGCCGGAAGGCAGCCUCGUGGACGCCGGCGUGAUUUCUUCGACGGUGAACUACGACAACGCCACGGCGAGGCUGAACGUCGUCCUCCGCGUCAGUGGCGCCGAGUAUGCCCUCGGCGCUACCGUCGACUUCCGAAGCUUGCUGCCGGAGCAGGUCGCGUUAGGCUUCUCGGCGGCCACCGGUGAUGCCUUCGGCAGCAGUCACACGUUACUCUCGUGGUCCUUCCACUCCACGCUCCCGACAAGGAACGGCACUCCCCUCCCAUCUACCUCGCCGUCGUCAACCAAGAAGGCCACCCUACAACUCAGAGCCGGGGUUGCCGCCGCGGCCGUGCUGGUGCUCCUGCUCGCGGUCGCCGUGGCGGUGCUGCUCCGGCGUGCGAGCAGGAGAAACAGGCAACCAGACGACAAAGACAUGCUCGCCGGCGACAUGACUCCGGACUCCCUCGACGCAGACGGCGAUGAGUUCGGUUCCAGCACGGGACCCCGGCCGAUCCCGUACGCCAGCCUAGCGGCGGCGACGCGGAACUUCGCGGAGGAAGGGAAGCUGGGGCAGGGCGGAUCCGGGUCGGUGUACCGGGGCCACAUGAAAGAACUCGGCGGCCGCGAUGUCGCCGUCAAGGUGUUCCUGCGAGGGGCGUCCUUGGAGGGGAGGAAGGAGUACAGGUCGGAGGUCACCAUCAUCAGCAGACUGCGCCACCGGAAUUUUGUGCAGCUAAUCGGCUGGUGCCAUGGCCGCAGGCGGCUGCUGCUGGUCUACGAGCUCGUCCACAACGGCAGCCUCGAUGGGUACCUCUACAGCAACAGCAAAAACGACGUUCUGACUUGGCAAGUUAGAAAAUCUGGAGACAGGUGGCCUUGGAGCUAG